AUACUGACUCACCUUUGGAACCUGCACCAAACUACAAGGAGCUAGGAUUCCAUAACCUGGUAAAGAAAAAUAACAAACCUUGUUUGUGUUUAUGGCUGGAUGAUAAGCUAUCGAGUAUUUAACCACAAAAAAUCGUGGUGAUCUAAUAAAACACAGGCAUUCUGUAAGACGGUCCAAUGAUGGCAGAUCACGGAGACCCCUGUAAUGAGUUCGAAGCCUCCUAUUGCAUGAAUGGGGGAACAUGUUACAAACUCCCCUCUAUGGACACACUCUCGUGUGUGUUGAGCACUGUGUUUCUCAGCUGCAGUGAAAGCUACAAAGGCAGUCGGUGUGAACAGUUCCAGCUGCUUAUCACAUCAGGUAAUGCAGGAGAGAAAGGGUUGAUUGCUGCGGUGGUGAUCGUUGCCCUCCUCCUUCUA